rnacentral:rRNA from 1 species
CUAGCCGUAAACGAUGGACACUGGAUAUUCCGGCAUUUCUGCUGGAGUGUCGUAGCUAACGCGUUAAGUGUCCCGCCUGGGGAGUACGAUCGCAAGGUUGAAACUCAAAGGAAUUGACGGGGGCCCGCACAAGCGGUGGAGCAUGUGGUUUAAUUCGACGCUACGCGAAGAACCUUACCUGGGCUUGAACUGCUGGUGGUAGAAGCCCGAAAGGGUAACGACCCGGAGCAAUCCGGGAGCCAGUAGAGGUGC